rnacentral:tRNA from 1 species
GUCCAGUGUAGCCUAGUGGACAUGGCACCUGCCCGGUAAGCAGAAGGUUGUGGGUUCGAUUCCCGCCCCUGGACA